rnacentral:lncRNA from 1 species
UCAAAAGAAGAAAAAGAAGAAGAAUUAGAAGAAGGAAAUCAUCAAUCAAUAUGUUAAUAAUGAAUAAUAAAAUAAAAUGGAAUAUAAAAUGGAUGUACCCACGUUAGGUACAUACCUGCGCUGAGGGACCUUGUACACAUUAUCAUCGCAUACGGCCCUAGCGCGUCAUCGUGAGCGCAACACGGCCCCCCCUCAUAUGCGCAAAAAUCAUGCGUGGCAGUUAGCCGGCCGGUAUUAACCUGUAACUGGUGCAAGAGCUAACGAAACUCGGCACGUGCUCGGCACGUUGUAACAGUCACGGUGUUGACGAGCGAUUCAAACUGUUUUGUGAACGAGAAGACACGUGGGCUGUUUCUACCUAUGCAGGUGUAAUUUAAGCAAAGUCAUGGCGCAAUCCAAAAAUUAUGUCAUUGUAGAGUUUGAGGAUGGAAUUCAAUUGAUAGCGAGUAAUUGGCUAAUUGAAGAGACCAUGGAAGCUUACUGGCCUAAUUUUACAACGAUGAAUCGAUAUUACAAGGCUGUGCAAGUAUUGGAACCGAUUAAAGAUUCGUGGAAGUUGUUCAAAGUAAAACGUAUACUGGCCAAAACUUAUAACUAUGAGAAAGGAA